CGUCGAGUGGAGCAGUCCGGUAGCUCGCCAGGCUCAUAACCUGGAGGUCGUCAGUUCAAAUCUGACCUCGGCAACCA
rnacentral:tRNA from 1 species